rnacentral:rRNA from 1 species
GCAUAUCAAUAAGCGGAGGAAAAGAAACCAACAGGGAUUACCUCAGUAACGGCGAGUGAAGCGGUAACAGCUCAAAUUUGAAAUCUGGUCCCCUCUGGGGGCCCGAGUUGUAAUUUGAAGAGGAUGCUUUUGGCGAGGCGCCUUCCGAGUGCCCUGGAACGGGACGCCACAGAGGGUGAGAGCCCCGUAUGGUAGGACGCCGAGCCUCUGUAAAGCUCCUUCGACGAGUCGAGUAGUUUGGGAAUGCUGCUCAAAAUGGGAGGUAAACCCCUUCUAAAGCUAAAUAUUGGCCAGAGACCGAUAGCGCACAAGUAGAGUGAUCGAAAGAUGAAAAGCACUUUGAAAAGAGAGUUAAACAGCACGUGAAAUUGUUGAAAGGGAAGCGCUUGCGACCAGACUUGCGCCCGUCGGAUCAACCGUCCCUCGUGGGCGGCGCACUCCGGCGGGCUCAGGCCAGCAUCAGUUUUCCCGGGGGGAGAAAGGCGGUGGGAAUGUGGCUCUUCGGAGUGUUAUAGCCCUCCGCGUAAUGCCCCCGGGGGGACUGAGGACCGCGCGUAAGCAAGGAUGCUGGCGUAAUGGUCGUCAGCGACCCGUCUUGAAACACGGACC